CCUGGUUGAUCCUGCCAGUAGUCAUAUGCUUGUCUCAAAGAUUAAGCCAUGCAUGUCUAAGUUCAAGCGAAAAUAAAGUGAAACCGCGAAUGGCUCAUUACAUCAGUUAUGGUUCCUUAGAUCGCACUUACUACUUGGAUAACUGUGGUAAUUCUAGAGCUAAUACAUGCGCUGGGCCCCAACCCUCGUGGAAGGGGCGCUUUUAUUAGAUCAAAGCCAAUCGGGCCUUCGGGCUCGUUAACUUGGUGACUCUGAAUAACUUUGCUGAUCGCACGGUCUCGCACCGGCGACGUAUCUUUCAAGUGUCUGCCUUAUCAACUGUCGAUGGUAGGUUAUGCGCCUACCAUGGUGGUAACGGGUAACGGGGAAUUAGGGUUCGAUUCCGGAGAGGGAGCCUGAGAAACGGCUACCACAUCCAAGGAAGGCAGCAGGCGCGCAAAUUACCCACUCCCAGCUCGGGGAGGUAGUGACGAAAAAUAACGAUACGGAACUCUUAUGAGGCUCCGUAAUCGGAAUGAGUACACUUUAAAUCCUUUAACGAGGAUCUAUUGGAGGGCAAGUCUGGUGCCAGCAGCCGCGGUAAUUCCAGCUCCAAUAGCGUAUAUUAAUGUUGUUGCGGUUAAAAAGCUCGUAGUUGGAUCUCGGUUUCGGGCGAGCGGUGCGCCUUGCGGCGUCUACUGUUUGCCCGGACGAUUUUGCUGGUUCGUUCCUGGUUCUCUUAACCGAGUGCCAGGAGUGGCCAGCACGUUUACUUUGAAAAAAUUGGAGUGCUCAAAGCAGGCGCUACAGCCUGAACAUUAGUGCAUGGAAUAAUGGAAUAGGACCUCGGUUCUAUUUCGUUGGCUUUCGGAGUCGAGGUAAUGAUUAAUAGGGACAGACGGGGGCAUUCGUACUGCGACGUUAGAGGUGAAAUUCUUGGAUCGUCGCAAGACGAACUACUGCGAAAGCAUUUGCCAAGAAUGUUUUCAUUAAUCAAGAACGAAAGUUAGAGGUUCGAAGGCGAUCAGAUACCGCCCUAGUUCUAACCAUAAACGAUGUCGACUGGCGAUCCGCUAUCGUUAACUGAAAGACUUAGCGGGCAGCCUCCGGGAAACCAAAGUGUUUGGAUUCUGGGGGGAGUAUGACUGCAAAAUUGAAACUUAAAAGAAUUGACGGAAGGGCACCACCAGGAGUGGAGCCUGCGGCUUAAUUUGACCCAACACGGGAAAUCUCACCAGGCCCGGACACCGGUAGGAUUGACAGAUUGAGAGCUCUUUCUUGAUUCGGUGGGUGGUGGUGCAUGGCCGUUCUUAGUUGGUGGAGCGAUUUGUCUGGUUAAUCC
rnacentral:rRNA from 1 species